rnacentral:pre_miRNA from 2 species
GGCAUUGUUAGAUUAUUUUGUGGGACAUUAACAACACCAUCAGCAGCAGCAACUUUAGUUAAUGAAUCUUGGCAAGUUAAGUGACUUUAUUU